GAGCUCAGCUGGUAUAACACGAGACUCUUAAUCUCAGGGCUGUGGGUUUGAACCCCACAUUGGGCA